GCGGGGCUGGGGGGCCCUCACGCCCAGUCUGCUGCGGUCAAUUCCAGGGUGGCGCGGCGGUAGCCAUGUGGUGGCGCGCAGACCACAGGGAUGGAAUGACCAGAUACGACCCCGGCGCCGCCAGCCCAGCUCCGCCGCACCUGCCUUCUGGGGCUGACCCCAGCUCUGGCCAUACAGACAGGGUUCCUCCCAUGCCAGUUGCUCUGGCCCCGGCCCCAGAAGGUGACCUCUCUCCGCAUUAAUGGCCUCUGCAGUCUGGACCUCCCCUGGAUCGUGGGGCCGGUCUGGGACGUCCCCGACCCCCAGCUUAGAUCUAUACAGGACCGCCGGGACAUGGAUGAAUCUGGAGAACAUCAUUCUCAGCAAACUGACACAAGAACAGAAAAUGAAACACCGCAUAUUCUCACUCAUAGAAGCACAUUUUGAUUUAGCUGAAAUUGCCUGAGGAGCUAAGUCCAUUUCGUAGCCCUGUAUAAGUUAUCUGCAUUUGUGUACCUUGCAGAGCUCACUGUAUUAGAACUCUGAGCUCUGUGAUAGCUUAAUUUAAGCAAGUUCUCCCAUAAUGAGAAGCCAUUCCUAGAACCCGCAGAAUGUGACUGGCUCAUACCUUGAAGCCAACAUCUCCAGCUCCGGAUCCACUCAAUUUCUCUCAGAAGGCUGCAAACGAUGAAAAGUUGUCAAGAGGUCAUAUAUAUAUAACAUGAAUACCCAGAAGCAUAUUUCUGUUUGGAACAUGAAACAGAAACUCACUGCAGGAUUCCAUGGAUUGAUGAAUGAGAAGAUCCCAGGUGAAUCACCCUUAAAUCAAGUGAUCUGUACAAGUAGCCCACUGCCUCAAUCAUGACGUGAUGACAAGAGUCACUCGACAAUAACUGACCUGCUAGAUAUUUGAAAAUAAGAAUAUUGGACUUUUAUUACUCAUGAAUUCAGACAUUCAAAAGAGAAGGAUAAAAAACAUUUAUAAAAGGUGGUAUUGGAACAUGACUUAUUUGUAAUAUUCUGCCAAAAAAUAUUUAACUGAGUCUAAUCAUAAAGAAACAAUCAGGCUAGGCAUGGUGGCUCAUGCCUGUAAUCCCAGCACUUUGGAAGGCUGAGGCAGGUAGAUUACGUGAGCCCAGGAGUUCAAGACCAACCUGGGCAACAUGGCAAACCCCCAUCUCUACAAAAAAAUACAAAAAUCAGCUGGGCAUGGUGGCGCAUUCCUAUAGUCUUAGCUACUUAGGAGACUGAGGUGGGAGGAUUGCUUGAAACCAGGAGGCAGAAGUUGCAGUGAGCUGAGAUUGCACCACUGCACUCCAGCCUGGGUAACAGAGUGAGACCCUGUCUCAAAAAAAUAGAAAGAAUCAGACAGAUAUAAAUUGAAGGACAUUGGGAUAGGGAUGGGAGGGUGAAACCUGACUUCAAAUCUUCAAAAUGUCAAUGUCAUAAAGACAAAACAAAGGUACUUAAUUCUAGACUAAAAGAGACAAAUGCAAUGCAAGAUCCUCAAUAGGAUUCUGGAUCCAAAAGUUAACAGCUAUAGAGAACAUUACUAGAUACCUGAGGAAAUUUGAAUAUGGACUAUAGUUAGAUAAUAGUCUUAGGUAAUAAAUUUCCUGUAUUUGAUUAUUGUGGCUGUAUAAUCAAUGAGUACAAGGAGAAUGUCCCUGUACUCCGAAGACAUAUGCUGAAUUACAGUAUUUAGAGAUAAAAGUGUCAUGUUUGCAACUAACUUUCAAAUGGUUCCGAAAAAUAUGUAUGUAUGUAUGUGUCUGUGCUUGUACAUGAAAGAUAGAACAGAAAUGUGGUAAAAUGUUAACAAUUGGUAGGCCAGGUAGAGUGGGUGGCUCAUGCCUGUAAUCCCAGCACUCUGGGAGGCUGAGGAGGUAGAAUUGCUUGAGCCCAGGAGUUUGAGACCAGCCUGGGUAACAUAGUGAGACCCUGUCUCUAUAAAAAAUAGUAAUAACAAUUAUUUAAAAUGUGAUGAAAAUAGGUAAAGGUUAUAUGGUCAUUCACUAUACUAUUCUUGAAAUUUCUCUGUAGGUUUGAAAUUUUUCAAAAUAAAAAAAUUGGGAAAAAUUGUUUCCAACUGCCACGGUCAAGAAUUGAAUUCUCAGCCAGGCACAGUGGCUCACGCCUGUAAUCCCAGCACUUUGGGAAUUAGAGGCGGGUGGAUCACUUGAGGUCAGGGGUUCAAGACCAGCCUGGCCAACAUGGCAAAACCCCAUCUCUACUAAAAACACAAAGAUUAGCCACAUGUGGUGGCAGGCACCUGUAAUCCCAGCUACUCAGGAGGCUGAGACAGAAGAAUCACUUGAAUCCAGGAGGCAGAGGUUGCAGUGAGCUAAGAUCAUGCCACUGCACUCAAGCCUGGGCAACAGAGUGAGACUCCAUCUCAAUAAUAAUAAUAAUAAUUGAAUUCUCUAAAAUUUGUUAAAAUAAAAACAAUCCAUUUUACAAUCUAA